GGCUGCAGUACUCACUGCUUUUCUAUGAUAUGUUGAAGCAAUGAACUGGUGUUGAGGGAUCUUAGAAUUUUUAAGACUUGUAUGAAGUAUCCUUUCCUUUGGAAUCUUGUUUGGAGAAUAGCUUAAUUAGAUGAUGUCUUAGUCUGCUGAGGCUGCUAUAACGCAAUACAGUAAACUGGGUGACUUAUAAACAAUGGAGAUUUAUUUCUGACCGUUCUGGAGGCUGAGAAGUCCAAGAUCAUGGGCCUGCUUUCUGGUUCAUAGACAGCACUUUCUUACUGUGUCCCUACAGGGUGGAGAGGGCAAGGCAGCUCUUGGGGUCCUCUUGUAUAAGGGCACCAAUCCCAUUGGCGCUGCCCUUAUGACCUGGUUACCUCCCAGCGGCUGCAUCUCCUAAUACCAUCACCGUGAGGGUUAGGAUUUCAACAUAUGAAUUUUGAAGGGACACAAAUGUUCCGUGCAUGGCAGAUAGUAAGGCUCUGUCUCCAGAGGACAUUCAGAAUGGAGCAUUUGAGUCAGUCUUCAUUCAUGCCUCCUGAGUAUUCCUAAAUUACCUGUGUGAACUGAACCGGGAAGUCGGCUCCUCACAGGGAAUCCAUCUCUCUUGUGCCAUUGCAGCUGCUGCGACCAAAUGCUAUCAUUGAUGUUUAUCCUGGAUGCCCACCCCGUCCCCAAUGCAAGAUUCUUUUCUUAGACCCCUGAUGAUUUUAAUUUGCAUUGUCUUAAAAUAUCCUGAGACGAUUGAAACUUGCCUAAAAUAGUUUACCCAGCAAAUCAGACAUGUGUUAGCAGGAGCUCAUGGCCACCUUUUAGAAAUAUAGUAGCUCUUUAGAGGCCAGAAUUCUUGCAUUCAUUCAUAAAGCCACACAGACAUCUCCCCUGACCUAUUGCUGGUGUUAUUAUGGGGUUUUAUAGAAAUGGAUUUUUAAGUAUCUGAAAUGUACUCUCUUGGUUCUUGGAAUUUUUUCUCACACUCAAGCAUGGUGACAUCCUUUUUAUUCUGGGUCAUCAGGAUGAUGGCUCCCCUACUGUGGUACCAUAGGCCCCACGUGGUUCUGGGGCUCCCUGGGCCUCUGGUGCCUCGGUCUCUCCCCUGGCUGUCGUGGACUCCCACUUCUUCUUCUGUAGACUGUGCUGGGCCUCACACAGCACCCAGCCCUCCUUUUUCCUUCACAGACAGCUCUUGUUUGCAUUUGUUUACAGUGGUUAUUGUGAAACUAUUUCUUAAUGAGGAUGUUAUUAAUGUAAACAUUGUGUUUGCUUGCUUUUUUCAAUGUUAAUUAAAACGAUAUCAUUUCCUCAUGAAUACAGCUUUGUUUUACAUAAGAAUUCUAACUGCACAGAAUCAUAUGGGGUGGCUCACAUCUGUAAUCCCAGCACUUUGGGAGGCCGAGGAGGGCGGAUCACAGGGUCAGGAGAUUGAGACCAUCCUGGCCAAUAUGGUGAAACCCCCGUCUCUACUAAAAAUACCAAAAUUGGCUGGGCGUGGUGGCAUGCGCCUGUAGUCCCAGCUACGUGGGAAGCUGAGGCAGGAGAAUCGCUUGAACCCAGGAGGUGGAGGUUGUAGUGAGCUGAGAUCGUGUCACUGCCCUCCAGCCUGGUGACAGUGAGACUCCAUCUUAAAAAAAAAAAAAAAA
ensembl:lncRNA